rnacentral:rRNA from 1 species
UAUCCUGUCUGAAUAUGGGGGGACCAUCCUCCAAGGCUAAAUACUCCUGACUGACCGAUAGUGAACCAGUACCGUGAGGGAAAGGCGAAAAGAACCCCGGCGAGGGGAGUGAAAAAGAACCUGAAACCGUGUACGUACAAGCAGUGGGAGCACCCUUUGGGUGUGACUGCGUACCUUUUGUAUAAUGGGUCAGCGACUUAUAUUCUGUAGCAAGGUUAACCGAAUAGGGGAGCCGGAGGGAAACCGAGUCUUAAUUGGGCGUUAAGUUGCAGGGUAUAGACCCGAAACCCGGUGAUCUAGCCAUGGGCAGGUUGAAGGUUGGGUAACACUAACUGGAGGACCGAACCGACUAAUGUUGAAAAAUUAGCGGAUGACCUGUGGCUGGGGGUGAAAGGCCAAUCAAACCGGGAGAUAGCUGGUUCUCCCCGAAAGCUAUUUAGGUAGCGCCUCGUGAAUUCAUCUCCGGGGGUAGAGCACUGUUUCGGCUAGGGGGCCAUCCCGGCUUACCAACCCGAUGCAAACUGCGAAUACCGGAGAAUGUUAUCACGGGAGACACACGGCGGGUGCUAACGUCCGUCGUGAAGAGGGAAACAACCCAGACCGCCAGCUAAGGUCCCAAAGUCAUGGUUAAGUGGGAAACGAUGUGGGAAGGCCCAGACAGCCAGGAUGUUGGCUUAGAAGCAGCCAUCAUUUAAAGAAAGCGUAAUAGCUCACUGGUCGAGUCGGCCUGCGCGGAAGAUGUAACGGGGCUAAACCAUGCACCGAAGCUGCGGCAGCGACACUGUGUGUUGUUGGGUAGGGGAGCGUUCUGUAAGCCUGUGAAGGUGUGUCGUGAGGCAUGCUGGAGGUAUCAGAAGUGCGAAUGCUGACAUAAGUAACGAUAAAGCGGGUGAAAAGCCCGCUCGCCGGAAGACCAAGGGUUCCUGUCCAACGUUAAUCGGGGCAGGGUGAGUCGACCCCUAAGGCGAGGCCGAAAGGCGUAGUCGAUGGGAAACGGGUUAAUAUUCCCGUACUUGGUGUUACUGCGAAGGGGGGACGGAGAAGGCUAUGUUGGCCGGGCGACGGUUGUCCCGGUUUAAGCGUGUAGGUGUGUGUUCCAGGUAAAUCCGGUUCACUUUAACACUGAGGCGUGACGACGAGGCACUACGGUGCUGAAGCAACAAAUGCCCUGCUUCCAGGAAAAGCCUCUAAGCAUCAGGUAACAUCAAAUCGUACCCCAAACCGACACAGGUGGUCAGGUAGAGAAUACCAAGGCGCUUGAGAGAACUCGGGUGAAGGAACUAGGCAAAAUGGUGCCGUAACUUCGGGAGAAGGCACGCUGACACGUAGGUGAAGUGAUUUACUCAUGGAGCUGAAGUCAGUCGAAGAUACCAGCUGGCUGCAACUGUUUAUUAAAAACACAGCACUGUGCAAACACGAAAGUGGACGUAUACGGUGUGACGCCUGCCCGGUGCCGGAAGGUUAAUUGAUGGGGUCAGCGCAAGCGAAGCUCCUGAUCGAAGCCCCGGUAAACGGCGGCCGUAACUAUAACGGUCCUAAGGUAGCGAAAUUCCUUGUCGGGUAAGUUCCGACCUGCACGAAUGGCGUAAUGAUGGCCAGGCUGUCUCCACCCGAGACUCAGUGAAAUUGAACUCGCUGUGAAGAUGCAGUGUACCCGCGGCAAGACGGAAAGACCCCGUGAACCUUUACUAUAGCUUGACACUGAACAUUGAGCCUUGAUGUGUAGGAUAGGUGGGAGGCUUUGAAGUGUGGACGCCAGUCUGCAUGGAGCCGACCUUGAAAUACCACCCUUUAAUGUUUGAUGUUCUAACGUGGACCCGUUACCCGGGUUGCGGACAGUGUCUGGUGGGUAGUUUGACUGGGGCGGUCUCCUCCUAAAGAGUAACGGAGGAGCACGAAGGUUGGCUAAUCCUGGUCGGACAUCAGGAGGUUAGUGCAAUGGCAUAAGCCAGCUUGACUGCGAGCGUGACGGCGCGAGCAGGUGCGAAAGCAGGUCAUAGUGAUCCGGUGGUUCUGAAUGGAAGGGCCAUCGCUCAACGGAUAAAAGGUACUCCGGGGAUAACAGGCUGAUACCGCCCAAGAGUUCAUAUCGACGGCGGUGUUUGGCACCUCGAUGUCGGCUCAUCACAUCCUGGGGCUGAAGUAGGUCCCAAGGGUAUGGCUGUUCGCCAUUUAAAGUGGUACGCGAGCUGGGUUUAGAACGUCGUG